GGAAAGGUGGCAGAGCGGUUGAAUGCACCGGUUUUGAAAACCGACGUAGUUUAAACUACCGGGGGUUCGAAUCCCUCCCUUUCCG